GUUCAAAAGUGAAAGACGGUCUUGCUGUCACUUAUAGAUGGAUCCGCGCUGCAUUAGCUAGUUGGUAAGGUAACGGCUUACCAAGGCAACGAUGCAUAGCCGACCUGAGAGGGUGAUCGGCCACACUGGAACUGAGACACGGUCCAGACUCCUACGGGAGGCAGCAGUAGGGAAUCUUCCGCAAUGGGCGAAAGCCUGACGGAGCAACGCCGCGUGAGUGAUGAAGGUCUUCGGAUCGUAAAACUCUGUUAUUAGG
rnacentral:rRNA from 1 species